GACUCUGUUGUGUUACUACGACUGGUCUGAAAUGCAUGAGUGCAUCCUGCUGUUGUUGUGUUUUCAGUGUGAUAAGCAUCUUCACUGGAUCAAGUUCCCUUUGGGACACACAUGCAUUGUGGGCUCUGUGCUGGCAAACCGUCUUUGGACAACCUUGACAAUUUGACCUCAGAUUGGGUGGGACUACCCACUGAACUUAA
rnacentral:misc_RNA from 1 species